ACUAUAUUAUUCCGUAACAAACUUCUUUUUUCCCAGAUUUUUGAGUUUAUUUUUUGGGCAUCUGUUUUGCUGACACGUGGUUUGAUCUGCUGUAUUAUUUUCCUGUGUGCAGCUUUGGGUGUGUCUUGCAUUUUCUGUCUGGUCUAUUUCGUGUGCACAAUGUUGGUUUCUGUUUUAUGCCUGUGUACGUAUAGCAUACAUCUAUCUACCGCUGUUCUUUCUAUCUUCUUGCCUUUGUUCUUCGUGGUGGGGUCCAUGGCUAUGUGGUGGAGCGGUGCGGUGGCCACAUGUUGGUUUCCCUCUCUGAGCGGUUAUUUUUUCAUCCUCUUUUUCACCUCUGAUAUUUUUUUUAAUCCGCCUCUUCUCCUCCUCCUUCUCCGUCGCCGGUUGACCACGUCUCUUUUGCCCAGCGGCCCAGCACCGUAGGUCUCCCUAUGGCUCCUCCCGUGUCCGCCACCGAGGGAAGCCCGGGCCCCUCACCUCUCCUUCUUCCUCACCAGCAGCCUCUCCCUUCUCUGCUCAGCCGAUCUUGGCUCCCCCUCUUCCCUCCACGCAAGGGCCAUGGCGUUAGGCGGCCAAUCACAGGCGCGGCGGCGCCCCCCGCACCCUCACCUCCUCAGAUGUGACGGCCGGCAACCUCGCCUGCCUAAUCCCUUUAGGUGGUUGCCCUGGCCGCGAGGCAGCGGCGAAGUCUGCAGGUCCUCUCACAACAGAAGUGGCGCGAAUUUCCACUAGCCGAAGCUCCUCUGUUGCCGCUGGCCGUCACGUUGGUCGGAUCUUCCUUCCAUAUCGUCGUCGUUGCCUCCCCCAUCCCCUGCCCCGCCUCUUCUCGGCAACGAGUCGUCGCUCACGUAAGCCGGCACACCGGCUCCGGACGCGUCUGCCACUGCGGAAACGAGCGAUGCGGUCCCGUCCUCUUGGAGGCGUCGCGGCCCUCACGCUCGGGGCGCCGACGAGCUCCUACAUGCACGCGCCGUCAGCAGGCGCAAAGUGCUGACCUGACGGAGAUGGCGCGGUCGUUGCGCUGGAACAACGCGCGCUGUGUCUGGGGAUGAUACCACGAGAGUUGGCAUGGAGCUGCGGCGGAGCAGCAUCGGCGUCACCGCGUGCCUAACCGGGAGUGCGGCCAACAAGUCCUGCAGGGGCGCGCCGGGCUGAUGGAGGUUGCUGUUGAGGGUCAUCAGGCCCUUCGGAUCCGGAGGGAGGCGAUACUGGAUCCAGAAGAGGAUGAAUUCAUGUAUGCGUCAGCCCCCCCAGUAGUAAAGAAACCUGCAGCUCCUCACCUGGACGGUGCUCCUCCACCCUGUGGAUGGUCUGUCACCGCAAGGUGAGCACUCGAUAAUCAGCAGUGCUAGCGCCUGCUCCGGAUCAGGGAGCAUGGCAUCGCCUGGAAGCCGUCCUGCUACCACCCAAACAACGGCGAGAACGUCAACGCUGCAGUCGCGAGGUGGAGCUCUGAGAACCGUGGUAGCGAAGGAAUCCCAUAGUAGAAGCUGGUAUCUUGAUUCACCCUUUUUCAUUCUGGUACAAUACGCAUGAAAUGGUUACAGUACAUCGUAACUUUGUGUUUUUGAGAAGCACCAGUUCCUUAUUUCCUGUAUAGGCUCAAGAAGGCAUUGCUUGUAAAUAUAAAGGAAAAAAAAAGGACGUACCCAGUGCUGAGAGCUCCCGCACUGUGCGGGGUCUGGGGAAGGUGUUAGCAUUGCUUAUAAAUAUGCCACCAGUUAAUCCAUGUGAAUCAUUUGUUUGGCUAUAUGUAAUUAUGCAAAAAAAAAACUAUUUGACUGAUUUUAUUUUGAUAUAUACUUUCCUUCCUUUCACGGCAACUUUAGCUAAAAAUAACUUACAAAUUCCUGAGUUUGGUUAAUGCCCACAGAUUAGUGUCACUCUUUAUUUCCUUAAUCUUUUUUUCAUGUACGUACCAUAUUGCAUAUUUAACUAUCAUACACUGUGUUCCAGAUAAGGUCCUCCUUUUAUAGUAGUUACCAAUUCCCUAAUGUCUCUAUCUUUACAACUAUCAUGGAAAUUUUGUAUAUUUAGUUUCCAAAAACGGAAAUCCUUUUACUAACUAUAGUAAUGUAAAUUUGAAAGGUUAUAAGUUCAUAGUGCUGAUUUACUUCCUGCUGUGUAAAUUGGUAAAGGUGUAGUAAUAUGAUAAUGUAGAUUGUUAGACUUUUUCCCUGCUUUGUUUUUUGUUUAUUUCGAAGAGGACAUUACAAUGUUGCUAUCGAUAUCUCAUCUGCAGUAGUAUCUAACUGCAGGUGUUUCCUUUGUUUCAAGUGAUUUCCCUAUUGUACAUCAGAAUGUGUGCUGAUGCAUGAAGUUUGUUGCAUUUUUUUGGAAGCAAAGGAAAAUAUGGAUGCAAACAACUUGUAUCUUUUAUGCUUUAUUUCUUAUGCCAUAUACAGCUGAUCACAGUUUCUUGAAAAUAAAGUUAAAUAAAUAUAUGUUGGAACCAUCAAUAUCUAACUUCUGGUAUCACCUUUAUUUCAGGUGAUUUUUGUCAUUGCACAUCACAAUUUCUGGUGACGCGUAUCUGAAGUCUAUUGCAAUUUUUAGAAGUGAAGGAAAACAUGGAGGCAAGCAACUGCAUUCAAUAAAAGUGAGAUUUAUUUUCCAAAAUUUCAUGCACCUAUGCAUAUACAGGAUAUAUUAAUAUUCACAAAGCCGUAGAGAUUGGAUCUUCUCUGAGAGUUUACUCAAUUUGAUCUAUAGAUGCUUACUACAUCUUCGAACCAACGUAAAUAAAAACCCUCCCUAGGUAUUCUCAAUUUUUAUUUUCCCUGUAGGAAUUAGUAUACACAUGCAUUUUGGGUGUCUGCAUAUACUUAUUACAUUUCUUUUGUUUAUCAGAUCAGCAAGACCUCUACCAGUCAUAUACAGAUGUUUAGAUUAAGAAAAAUCUCGACUAAGGCAUAUCUAAAUCAAUAAAAUGUAGAAAUAGAAGUAGUGAAAUGCUACACCAGUAUCACCAGUUCAGCGCCAAGAGAGUAGCACACUUGGAACCCUGAAAGACUGAAAACACAAGAUAUUACAAACAAUAAUACCUCCUGUCCUAAAUCCUGAAUCCUCUGUUAAAAUGAAUUUUAUUGCUGAUACAUGAUAGAAAAUUUGACUUCACAUAUUCUGAGUGUCUUUGUCUCGAUGCAUAUCUAAUUGGUGCAUACGCAGUAACACUGCAUAUACUAGAGCACAAAAAUCGGGUUUUAUUUUCAGAAUCCGUGGCCGUAAGUGCACACGUUUCUAACUUCCGGUUUGCUAUUUUAACUACUUCAGUGACUGCCCACCAGUAAACAAGGUUAUUUCAUUGCAAGAGAAUCAUGCUGUGGCUAAUGUUGACAUGGAUGCUUUGCAGUUUAAAGAUCGGAGCUUGCUAUUUGGAAAAAAGUACUUUACCUCUCACUGCUCUUCCUAUUCUGCCAGGAACUAAUUGAGACAUCAUUUUAUCAUUGAUUUUCUGUUUCAUUAACUGAAGCUUGAUCUCCUCUUCUUAACUGCAAACAUGGUUUUGAAAUCAUAUUUACAGUAAAAACCAUUUUUUGCACCAGAUAUGUGGUGACAACAAAUAAAGACUACAUACUAUGAUUAUCAUUUACCUUUUGAACAUGCCCUUAUGUACAUUGUGCUUACUUACCAUGUUAGAAACUAUAUUCGAAAGAGAAUGAUUGAAACAUACUUUUCUUGCAGAUAGCAGAAUGUGUAUCCAAGAGAGACCACUUGCUGAUAAAAUGAUCAAGUACAGUGUCUUAAAAUCUUUUGGAUUUCCUUUGGAUUGCCAAGUUUUCUUUUUCACAACAUGGAUUGAUAAUCAAACACUAGAUGGUGUUGUUCCACUGUUUUUUUCCUGUACUUUAUCUUGGAUGUGAAAUUAGGAGAAUCCUGGCUGGCAUCUCUUGAUAGAAUCACUAAGGAUUCUCAGCUACAUCAAGUACUUCUAAGAAAAAUGUCUAGCUAUGAAGAAGCAGCACUUGAUUACUGUAAUAUUGCCUCUAUGUAACUAUUAUAGGUACUUCUAUUAGCUUACCUGUUAUGACUUCUAGAAUUAA